rnacentral:rRNA from 1 species
AACAGGAUUAGAUACCCUGGUAGUCCACGCCGUAAACGAUGUCGACCAGCCGUUGGGUGCCUAGCGCACUUUGUGGCGAAGUUAACGCGAUAAGUCGACCGCCUGGGGAGUACGGCCGCAAGGUUAAAACUCAAAUGAAUUGACGGGGGCCCGCACAAGCGGUGGAGCAUGUGGUUUAAUUCGGUGCAACGCGAAGAACCUUACCUACUCUUGACAUCCUGCGAAUUUGGUAGAGAUACCUUAGCGCCUUCGGGAACGCAGAGACAGGUGCUGCAUAGCUGUCGUCAGCUCGUGUUGUGAAAUGUUGGGUUAAGUCCCGUAACGAGCGCAACCCUUGUCCUUAUUUGCCAGCGCGUAAUGGCGGGAACUCUAAGGAGACUGCCGGUGACAAACCGGAGGAAGGUGGGGACGACGUCAAGUCAUCAUGGCCCUUACGAGUAGGGCUACACACGUGCUACAAUGGUCGGUACAAAGGGUUGCCAACUCGCGAGAGUGAGCCAAUCCCGAAAAGCCGAUCUCAGUCCGGAUCGGAGUCUGCAACUCGACUCCGUGAAGUCGGAAUCGCUAGUAAUCGUGGAUCAGAAUGCCACGGUGAAUACGUUCCCGGGCCUUGUACACACCGCCCGUCACACCAUGGGAGUGGACUGCACCAGAAGUGGUUAGCCUAACGCAAGAGGGCGAUCACCACGGUGUGGUUCAAGACUGGGGUGAAGUCGUAACAAGGUAACC